rnacentral:lncRNA from 1 species
AUGACAUUGGACCUAAAGGGAUGGGUCUCAUCCACCUCACACAUUAUGAGGCAAGAGAGACACAUCAUAUAUGGUGUAGUCUCACUCCUAGUGACCCAUAAGUGGUUGCAUGCCAAGGGGUGGAAUGAUGGGAGCAGUCAUAAAGGAGAAGGGAAGAUGGAUUUGUUCCUGGUCCUCAAGCAUUUAUUUCUGCAUACUGGUCUUCCAAGCGAUGCUCUUGAAAAUAGGAGCAAGAAUAUAGCAGCAAUCAACCUGGAAAACAAUGUACAAUCACCUGAAGUGUCUGAACCCAGGGCUAAAAUGAAGGGCCCAGGCCUAAUUCUUCAGGAAAUGUGCUGUUUUGUCUUGGACUUGAAGCAGCAAACAUAAAGUAUAUUUUAUAUGAACACAUAUCAGUGCAGACUGCAUUCUGUCUCAAAAACGUGGGCUGCUUUAUCUAAGAAAAAAGGCUUUGUUUUCUGUUUGAAAAAGACAACGAGAAUUUUGGAUGGAAACUGAGAUGAGAACAGUAAGCCGUAUCAGUAACAGUGCUGAUCACAGCUGAAGUGUAUGUUACCAAGGUGACCACACUUACAGACUCAUGCUGAACUCAUCAGUAAUCAAGAGUUUAACUAGCAACAUCUCUAAAAGUUACAUCUCUGCCUUGGCUAAAAUAUAAAAG